CACAUCCACGUGCACGUUUGAGAAGAUGGGGCUCAGCGUAUCCUGGGCCACGGUGCCGGUGGCUGGGGGCUUCCCGGGAAGAGUGCUGGGCCAGGGUCUCAAGACCCCAGACUCUGUUCCAGUUCUUUCUGGGAUCUCUCCCUGGGACUGUGCAGCCUCAGUAGCCAGGAGACGCUGUGUUAGAGGAGACUGGUGGGAGAGCCCCAAAGAGCUGGAAACCCGGACUCCUUUGCCUCCGGAAAGGACCCUCGGGGCACGUGGGUGGCUCAGUAGGUUAAGCGUCCGGCUCAGGUCGUGAUCCCACGGGAAGUGAGCUGCAUUUCUCCAAAAAUCCAGAGCGGGAGCUGAAGCCUAAAACGCACCCGCCUUCGGGGAGUCGGUUACUCACGGAUGUGCGAUGCGUCUGAAGUUGGCGAAGGGGCCCUGGAUACGCUGCCGCAGCUC